UUUAAAGUAUUAGUAAUUUAUUAUUGUUACUAAAAUUAAAUUUAGUUUGUUCCUGCAUAAAUCUUUUUAGUACUAAACCGCUUUGGAAUGAAUUUUUUGGGGGGACAACAGCAGGAUUAGGGCCAUCUUCUAGAUGCCAUCAGGUAGGUGCGCUAGCGUAGUCGUUUGCUGUAGCAUUAUAUCCCUUUUCCCCCUUUUUAAAAAAUGUUUGUAAGACGCCUGAAAUUUGUAUAACUUAGUUAUAUAAGUAGUUGAAUAAGAAUUGGUGACUUGGAAAAUAGAAUAGGACAGAGAAGAUGGAAGAGGAUUGCUUUGAAAUAGAAGGAAAGGAGAUAGAAGAUGUUUGAGGAAAGGAGGAGGACUUUGUUCGCUGUAACGGAAGUUUUUUGAAUGAAAUUUGGAGCCACUGUAUUAAGAUGUUAUUGGUAUCUUGGACAUCAUGUUUCAUUUAUUUGUGUAUUAUACAAGAAUAUCUAUUGGUGGAAAUGUAGAAUGGCAGCUGUUAUAACAACUUGGAUGAAUUAUUAGAAACAUCAAAGAAAUUUUGACAUAAUUUAAACUGGGAAAAGGCUCACAAAUAACCAAUUUAUUCUACAGUAGAUACAGGAUAUUAAAUUGACUUCAACAACGCAGAUAUCUCUCAAAAAUGAUAUCUGUUCGAGUGAUAUGUACUGGGCGUUAACAGUUGCUGUUACAAAUCUGCAAAUGAGUUAGAACUAACUGUACAUAAGUUUGAUGAAUGCAGGAGGAAUUUUUUGAAUGGAAUAAUGAUACUGAAAAUCUUACCCACAAAUGACAAUUUCAAGAUACAAUCAAUAGUACUUAGUUUGAUUGGUCUUCAUUACCAAUACGCUAUGAAAAUGUGAGCCGAACAAAUUGAUGGUAAUGGACAUUUUGACAGCUGCUGUCACAACUCAACGAACAAGUUGCAGCUUUGAAGGAAAAUUUUUGAUUGGAUACAGACAAAUGUCAGUCGUUUCAGGAUGCAAAGUUAUAGAGCCAGGGUUGGGCUCCACAUCUGUUACCUUUUAAUAAUGGUAUAAGAUGGGACAAUUAUUGCUGUUAAAAAUCCACAAGCCGUACUAUUUGCAAAUAUUAUGGUGGACAGCCAAAAGCUUUAAAUGGAAUGAAACUUCCAGGAAAAGACUCGGAAAGACCAUUUAGGACUGUACUUAAUAGCUGUUAGUGUGUUGUCGCAGUCCUUCAACACUGAUAUCUCCGCAUUUUCUUAACAAUGGAUAUCAACAGUUUCUCCUACUCCUCACACUUUCCUCUUUCACUCAACAUAAAGCAGACUCAAUACUCCUCAAUGCCUCACCAAGGUUCGUUAGCUUCAUUAAUAGUGUUAUUGUUUCAAUAAA